rnacentral:rRNA from 1 species
CAGUAGCCGCGGUAACACGUAGGUGGCAAGCGUUGUCCGGAAUUAUUGGGCGUAAAGGGCUCGCAGGCGGUUUCUUAAGUCUGAUGUGAAAGCCCCCGGCUCAACCGGGGAGGGUCAUUGGAAACUGGGGAACUUGAGUGCAGAAGAGGAGAGUGGAAUUCCACGUGUAGCGGUGAAAUGCGUAGAGAUGUGGAGGAACACCAGUGGCGAAGGCGACUCUCUGGUCUGUAACUGACGCUGAGGAGCGAAAGCGUGGGGAGCGAACAGGAUUAGAUACCCCGGUAGUCCCUGUCUCUUAUAC